UACAGAGGGUGCAAGCGUUGCUCGGAAUUAUUGGGCGUAAAGCGCGUGUAGGCGGCCUUACAAGUCAGGUGUGAAAGCCCUCGGCUUAACCGAGGAAGUGCGCCCGAAACUGUUCGGCUUGAGUACCGGAGAGGGUGGUGGAAUUCCCGGUGUAGAGGUGAAAUUUGUAGAUAUCGGGAGGAACACCAGUGGCGAAGGCGACCACCUGGACGGCUACUGACGCUGAGACGCGAAAGCGUGGGGAG
rnacentral:rRNA from 1 species